GACGAACGCUGGCGGCGUGCCUAAUACAUGCAAGUUGAGCGCUGAAGGUUGGUACUUGUACCAACUGGUUGAGCAGCGAACGGGUGAGUAACGCGUGGGGAAUCUGCCUUUGAGCGGGGGACAACAUUUGGAAACGAAUGCUAAUACCGCAUAAAAACUUUAAACACAAGUUUUAAGUUUGAAAGAUGCAAUUGCAUCACUCAAAGAUGAUCCCGCGUUGUAUUAGCUAGUUGGUGGGGUAAAGGCUCACCAAGGCGAUGAUACAUAGCCGACCUGAGAGGGUGAUCGGCCACAUUGGGACUGAGACACGGCCCAAACUCCUACGGGAGGCAGCAGGAGGGAAUCUUCGGCAAGGGACGAAAGUCUGACCGAGCAACGCAGCGUGAGUGAAGAAGGUUUUCGGAUCGUAAAACUCUGUUGGUAGAGAAGAACGUUGGUGAGAGUGGAAAGCUCAUCAAGUGACGGUAACUACCCAGAAAGGGACGGCUAACUACGUG
rnacentral:rRNA from 1 species